UACGUAGGUGGCAAGCGUUGUCCGGAUUUAUUGGGUUUAAAGGGUGCGUAGGCGGUUUUUUAAGUCAGUGGUGAAAUACUUCAGCUCAACUGGAGAGGUGCCAUUGAUACUGGGAGACUUGAGUACUGAUGAGGUAGGCGGAAUGGACGGUGUAGCGGUGAAAUGCUUAGAUAUCGUCCAGAACACCGAUAGCGAAGGCAGCUUACUAAGGAGUAACUGACGCUGAGGCACGAAAGUGUGGGGAUCAAACAGG
rnacentral:rRNA from 1 species